UUUCUGUUUGUGUUCACAUAUCUCUAUCUACGUGUGUCCCUCAUCCUGCAUCUUCGAAUAGCUGUCUGUCUGGGUUUGUUUAUGUUGGUAUAUUUAUAUCUGUACUGGCUGUGUACAGUUGUCAGCAAAGCUAUAGUAUGAUCUGUCUCUGUUUCUACAUAUGCAUCUCUGUCUCUGUGUGUGUGUGUGUGUGUGUGUCUGUACGUCUCUGUCUCUGUGUGUGUGUGUGUGUCUGUGUGUCUCUGUGUGUGUGUGUCUCUGUGUGUGUGUGUGUCUGUGUGUCUCUCUGUGUGUGUGUGUGUGUGUGUGUCUCUGUGUGUGUGUCCCUGUGUGUCUCUCUCUCUGUGUGUGUGUGUCUCUGUGUGUGUGUGCAUGUGUUUCAAUUAUCAGAGAUUGUCUGCUUUGAUCUGUGUGUGUGUCUGUCUGUCUAUCUUUCACCAUUUAUCAAUGUAUUUGCAGUUAGUAUACCCUGACAUAUAUUAUCUCUUUGUAUCUCCGUGUAGCUAUAUAGUGACUGCUAAUCUUGGCACUGCAGAUGUCCAUGAACUACAUUUCACCAACUCAAAGGGUUACAGGUUCAGGAAGUAAUAACAAAAGGUACAAUGUUUCCAAUCUGCCUUCAGAGUUAAUCAGUGUUUGUUACACAAAUCUAUCUACAUCUGUCUAUGUCAAGAUGGGCGAGAUUGUCACAAUGUUUUGUUUUACGAGGGGUUGGGAUGGACAGUAACAGGUAUAUUUGGUAUCAGGAACAUAGGAUGGAGGGGUACAAUAAUCUAUAUCAUGAUGGAUAUAGAUAGUAAAAACCUGUCCCAGUUUAGCCUUAAUGAAAGCUCAGACGAUUUGCUUAACCUAGUCAUUGUCCAUUCUAAUCUCAGACAUCAUGUGAUGUCACGUUAGGACUGCCCCAGACGCCAGCUGCUCGUUAAAGCACAGAUUACCAUGUCUGAUUAUAUUUAGACUAUAAUCUGUCCAAAGUGCAUAUUUACCUUUUCAUGUCCUUACCUUUAAAUAGGUAUGUAAUACGUGCAGAUGUGUACAUAGGGUAUGUACAUGUACUGCGAUUUUAUUUAUUUUUGUUGUGUCUAUGUAUAUAUUUGUACAUGUACACACACAUGUAUGUACACACUGGUAUACAUCAUUUCGUUGAUUUAUUUUACCCUAACAUGAAGGUAUCAUUUAAAAGGAUACUCUAAGCACCAAAACAACUUUCACGCCCCUGUUGUUUAAACAAUUUACCAUUUACCAUUUACCAUUACCAAAAAUAAUACAAUUACUAAUUGUAUUUACCUUUUUCCAGCGCUGAGGCUUCCACGACGCUGCUUACCUCUCCAUCACCCACGAUGUCAUGGAGAAGGCAUGGCCUUCCCCGCCAAUGUUUAAUCCAGAGAAGCACUUGGGGCCUGAUGUGCAUGCGCGGCAGGCACCACAGGAAAGCAUUGAAUCAGAGAUUUUGUAUGGGGGCUUCCGCAUCACGUGAUCACAUUUUACUCAGCCAGUGCAGUGGUAGUGCCUCUAGUGGCUGUCAAGGAGAAUUUAACCCUGAAUUGUAAACACCGAAGUUUCUUUACAUUGCAGGAUUACAGUGACAGGACCACUGCACCCAGACCACUUCAUUAAGAUGCAGUGGCGUGGGUGAUUUUAGUGGUCAUUUUAAUUACUUGGCUUAUGCAGCACUAGCCACAGCUAAUGAAAAUGAUGGUUUUAUCCUAAAGUAGAAAGCACAGCAAGUUUACUUUAGAAGUUCGGUCAGACACAGGAGGAACCUGCAAGCUCUAGCAGGCAACUACCAGAGAAUAUAAUAAACCUCUUGGUAAGUGGCGAGAAAAAUGUCAAGAAAUGGAGUAUAAUCCUUAAUAUUCAAGGGGCAAAGGAAACAAAAACUGAAAGAAAACAAUGACAGACACUUUAAAAAAAAUAAAAAGUGAAAUGUCCGAAUAUAGAAAUCAACAAACAUAAUGCCUAUAUUGAUGCUUUUUGUUGUUGUUGUUGUCAAUCUGUGUUUUUUGAGGCAGGUUCAUGUUACAAGGGAAGCAAAAAGGAGUUAGUACAGUAGUGGGUAUUUAUAUAUAAAAACAGGAACAUAUCAAAACAGAUACAUGAGGGUUAACUCCUGAGCAAUGCAGCCUCUUUAUGACAAUAAUAAUAAAACCGACAUCACAUGCAUGAAUAAACAGCUAAAAAUGAAACAAAAGAAAUAUACAUGAAUGAACUGUGAUUUAACGGUCAAUCUUGGUAGAUAUGAGUAGAUAACGUAAGUGUACCACCCCAGGGAUGUCAGGUGCAUUACUGAAACGUGCAAUAUUCGUCACACAUGGGAAAUUAGCGAUCAUAGCGAACAUGUGCAUAAAGUAACAGGAAUCUUGGUACAUGACGGAGUUGUAGGCUUUAGGGAAACAUGCAUCAAGUGGCUCAGCCGAGCAGUUAGCCUAUUCCCAUUGUGGGUAUGACACAGCCCGUCCGAGAUCGCCAGUCUGCAGGAGUUCCAAUAUUCCUUAAAGGAACACUAUAGUCACCUAACUUACUUUUGCUAAAUAAAGCAGUUUUAGUGUAUAGAACAUUCCCCUACAAUUUCACUGCUCAAUUCACUGUCAUUUAGGAGUUAAAUCACUUUGUUUCUGUUUAUGCAGCCCUAGCCACACCUCCCCUGGCUAUGAUUGACAGAGCCUGCAUGAAAAAAAAAACUGGUUUCACUUUCAAACAGAUGUAAUUUACCUUAAAUAAUUCUACCUCAAUCUCUAAAUUGAACUUUAAUCACAUACAGGAGGCUCUUGCAGGGUUAACAUAGCAGGGGAUAAGAAAAUCUUAAUUAAAAGGAACUUGCAAUAAAGAAAGCCUAAAUAGGGCUCUCUUUACAGGAAGUGUUUAUGGAAGGCUGUGCAAGUCACAUGCAGGGAAGUGUGACUCAUAAACAAAGGGAUUUAACUCCUAAAUGGCAGAGGAUUGAGCAGUGAGGCUGCAGGGGCAUGUUCUACACACCAAAACUGCUUCAUUAAGCUAAAGUUGUUCAGGUGACUAUAGUGUCCCUUGAAGGUAGUUCAGAGGUUGUGCAACAUGCCACGGUCCCUGUCGCGCCUCAACCACCCUGGACGACCUUCAUCCCGGCUUGAAUAUGCCCAGCUUUGGAAGGCGACUGUGAGCCCUUAUCUCAGGCAUAGCCGGUGCGGUCCACUACAAACUGCUACAGGACCUGUAACCACUCUUCGGACGCGGGUACCUUGCAGAGGCUGCGCAUGUGAGUUAGGUGCUGGACCUUGUAUGGGAGGCAGAAGGUACCUGCACUGCAAUUUUUGCCAGACAGAGACUCAAUAUAGGAUGUAGAGCAUAUAAAUCCUAUAUGUUGCAUAUGUGGGAUACAAGUAAUAGUAAAUAGUAGAAAUAAGCAUUAUUUCUACUAUUUACUAUUACUUGUAUCCCACAUAUGCAACAUAUAGGAUUUAUAUGCUCUACAUCCUAUAUUGCUCCACUAAUUAGAAUCAAUUCUAUACUCCCCCGAUAUUAUUAGGUAUUUAUCAGAUACAAUCUCCCGGCUAGCACAGACGUGUGCUUUUUCUCAUGAUUUAUAGUGAUGUCCCGAACGGUUCGCCGAACGGUUCGCCGCAGUUCGCCGUGAACGGUUCGCCACGGACUCCAGUCAGCAGACACAUUCCAGCCAAUCAGCAGCAGACCCUCCCGCCCAGACCCUCCCACCUCCUGGACAGCUCACUAAGAAUGCAGCUUCACAAUGGAUGCUGUCCAGGAGGUGGGAGGGUCUGAGAGGGAGGGUCUGCUGCUGAUUGGCUGGAAUGGGUCUGCUGACUGGAGUCCGCGGCGAACCGUUCGGGAAAUCACUAAUGAUUUCUAUACCGUGUGACUUCAGGGUCUUCUCACUUCGAGUUAUCGAGCUCCGCAUUUAUGUUAUCCCAUUCAUUUUAGGUUUCCACUAUUUAUUUAGUGUGUAGCACUUUGGGUGAUUGCUAUUUUUUGCAAUUUUUACAUUUAAUGAAUACAUUCUUUUUUGUUUUCUAUUUUUCUAGUUUCUCAAGUGUACUUUAGACUUCUACAUCUAUUGUAGAAACUUUUAGUACUUUACUUUUUCUCCCAGUAUCCUCUCAUUUGUACACUACCUCCAAACAUUUUUGUCUUUCACUUUUUAAAAAAAUUUUUUUUUCACAUUUAUAACCAGAAUUGAUGAACACCGAGUGCCAAGGCAAGGACUCGAUAUCUUGGGAUGUACCAUGACACUGGAGAUACCAAUGAAAAAAAUUAUAUAAAUGGUGCACGACUCACAAAACAAGAAUGUAUAACUUCAUAGCAAAAAUAUGUUAAUUAUAUAUAAACACAGGUUGGUUCUCAUGAUUCGUAUAAGACAGAAAUAGGUUCCACCACAUCCAGGUCUUCCAUGGGGAAGCACAGAAGCAGGGAAGAUCAUAUACACUGUCGGUUUUCAUGCACUGUCUGGUUAAUAGUUGCAUUAAAAAAAAUUUAAAAUCCCAGGGACAGUUGGGGGCCGAAUAAUCAACUUGUACAGUUUUUACAGCUAAUUUUUGACAAAUAUUUGG